rnacentral:rRNA from 1 species
AUUGAACGCUGGCGGCAGGCUUAACACAUGCAAGUCGAGCGAGCGGCGGACGGGUGAGUAAUGUCUGGGAAACUGCCUGAUGGAGGGGGAUAACUACUGGAAACGGUAGCUAAUACCGCAUACCAUCAGAUGUGCCCAGAUGGGAGUAGCGAGUAGGUGGGGUAAUGGCUCACCUAGACGACGAUCCCUAGCUGGUCUGAGAGGAUGACCGGCCACACUGGAAAUGAGACACGGUCCUGGCUCCUACGGGAGGCAGCAGUGGGGAAUAGUGCACAAUGGGCGCAAGCCUGAUGCAGCCAUGCCGCGUGUGUGAAGAAGGCCUUCGGGUUUUAAAGCACUUUCAGCGAGGAGGCGUUACUUGCCGAAGAAGCACCGGCUAACUCCGUGCCAGCCGCCGCGGUAAUUC